rnacentral:rRNA from 1 species
GACGAAGGAUGCAAGCGUUAUCCGGAUUCAUUGGGUUUAAAGGGAGCGUAGGUGGCCCGGUAAGUCAGUGGUGAAAUCUCGCAGCUUAACUGCGAAACUGCCAUUGAUACUGCUGGGCUUGAGUACAGAUGCCGUUGGCGGAAUAUGACAUGUAGUGGUGAAAUACAUAGAGAUGUCAUAGAACACCGAUUGCGAAGGCAGCUAACGAAACUGUAACUGACACUGAGGCUCGAAAGUGCGGGGAUCAAACAGG